AUGAACGCUGGCGGCGUGCCUAAUACAUGCAAGUCGAGCGAACGGACGAGAAGCUUGCUUCUCUGAUGUUAGCGGCGGACGGGUGAGUAACACGUGGAUAACCUACCUAUAAGACUGGGAUAACUUCGAGAAACCGGAGCUAAUACCGGAUAAUAUUUUGAACCGCAUGGUUCAAAAGUGAAAGACGGUCUUGCUGUCACUUAUAGAUGGAUCCGCGCUGCAUUAGCUAGUUGGUAAGGUAACGGCUUACCAAGGCAACGAUGCAUAGCCGACCUGAGAGGGUGAUCGGCCACACUGGAACUGAGACACGGUCCAGACUCCUACGGGAGGCAGCAGUAGGGAAUCUUCCGCAAUGGGCGAAAGCCUGACGGAGCAACGCCGCGUGAGUGAUGAAGGUCUUCGGAUCGUAAAACUCUGUUAUUAGGGAAGAACAUAUGUGUAAGUAACUGUGCACAUCUUGACGGUACCUAAUCAGAAAGCCACGGCUAACUACGUG
rnacentral:rRNA from 1 species